rnacentral:RNase_P_RNA from 1 species
CUAAGGCCGCUGCGCUUUUUUGAGUGGCCCCUGUGGUCCGGAACCAGGACCUUCUGCCCCAUCCGCACAGUGCCCCGACAGCAGUCGGGACGACGGCACGUGCAACAGAGAGCAGUCCCACCCCGGCAGACGUCGGGGCAAGGGGUGCAAGGGUGUGGUAAGAGCGCACCGGCGUUCCGGGCGACCGGAACGGCCAGGCAAACCCCACGGGGUGUAAGGCCAAGUCGCACCGCCCUCCGAUCCUCAUUGGAGUCAAGGCUACCCGCCGAGAAUGCGGUGCAGGUGGGCCGCUUGAGGCGGUCGGCGACGGCCGUCCCAGAUAGAUGAUGGCCUCCCCACGAGCCCGGCACGGACCGACCGUGGGCAGACCGAAUUCGGCUUACAGAUCC